UGCUUAACACAUGCAAGUCGAACGGAAAGGCCCUUCGGGGUACUCGAGUGGCGAACGGGUGAGUAACACGUGGGUGAUCUGCCCUGCACUUUGGGAUAAGCCUGGGAAACUGGGUCUAAUACCGAAUAUGACCGCGCACUUCCUGGUGUGUGGUGGAAAGCUUUUGCGGUGUGGGAUGGGCCCGCGGCCUAUCAGCUUGUUGGUGGGGUAAUGGCCUACCAAGGCGACGACGGGUAGCCGGCCUGAGAGGGUGACCGGCCACACUGGGACUGAUAUACGGCCCAGACUCCUACGGGAGGCAGCAGUGGGGAAUAUUGCACAAUGGGCGCAAGCCUGAUGCAGCGACGCCGCGUGAGGGAUGACGGCCUUCGGGUUGUAAACCUCUUUCAAUAGGGACGAAGCGCAAGUGACGGUACCUAUAGAAGAAGGACCGGCCAACUACCGUGCCAGCAGCCGCGGUAAUACGUAGGGUCCGAGCGUUGUCCGGAAUUACUGGGCGUAAAGAGCUCGUAGGUGGUUUGUCGCGUUGUUCGUGAAAACUCACAGCUUAACCUGUGGGCGUGCGGGCGAUACGGGCAGACUAGAGUACUGCAGGGGAGACUGGAAUUCCU
rnacentral:rRNA from 1 species